GGUGUCUCUGUUGAGCAGGCCAGUGUCAAACUCCUGUGUUCAUUCCAUCCUGCUUCAGUCUCCUGAGUAGCUGCAACUACAGGGACCAAACUCAGGACCUUGUGCUUGCAAGACAGGCGCCAGAACCACUGAGGGAGGAGUAAUGAGCAGGCAGGUGUGGACAAACACUGCAGAAGAGCCUCCCCUGGGAAGGACAUAAUCCAGAACACAAAGCUCCCCAGAAAAGAAAGGCAGAAGGGGUCAAAGAAGUGAUGGUGGAAGACGAGGCCUGAGAGAUAGGAGGCAUGAAAAGGACUGGAUCCACUGUUUCUGGCUUUGAAGAUGGAGGCCUGGAGAAUUCUGUCUUCAGGACAGAGCUUCGAACAGGAACAGAAACUAUAGAAGAGGAGAAGGGAGGACAGAAAGGAAUAGGAUUGAGGAAGGGAUCGAACUCGGGACCUUGUGCUUACAAGGCAGACAGUGGAACCACUGAGCUAAAUCCCCGGCCCUGAGGUACAAAAUUUUUAAUGUAUUUGAUCCAAUAAACUUUUAAAGGAAAGAACAUACAAGCAGUAAGACAUGCACAAGUUUUUAUGACUAUGAAACAUCAAAAGCAAUCACAAUAUUCAA